rnacentral:rRNA from 1 species
AUCGAACGCUGGCGGCAGGCCUAAUACAUGCAAGUCGAACGAGUGGCGGACUGGUGAGUAAUGUCUUGGAAACUGCCUGAUCGAGGGGGAUAACUGGUGUAAACGGUAGCUAAUACCGCAUACCACCCGUUGUGCCCAGAUGGGAUUAGGUAGUAGGUGGGGUAAAGGCUCAUUGUGGCGACGAUCCCUAGCUGGUCUGAGAGGAAGAUCGGCCACACUGGAACUGAGACACGGUCCAGACUCCUACGGGAGGCAGCAGUGGGGAAUAUUGGGCAAGGGGCGCAAGCCUGAUGCAGCCAUGCCGCGUGAGUGAAGAAGGUCUUCGGGUUGUAAAGUACUUUCGGCGGAGAAGCGUUAACCAAACAGAAAGCACCGGCUAACUCCGUGCCAGCAGCCGCGGUAAUUC